GGUACUUCAGCCCUUCGCAGCCCGACGCUAGGGGCCUGGCAGGGGGCAGCAAGAGACCGCGGUGAGCGCGGGGUAUUGAACGCCAAAGAAGGGGUUUGGAGGGUGGGGUGGGGCCUGGGACUCCCAGUCGCCUGGGCAGAUGUCCGUGGGGAACUGUAAGGCAUCUUAUAGGGAUCCUACAGGGGGCAUCCACUGCCGGCCGACGACACGUGGUGGAAAAGUAGCUAUUAUUUACAUGCGUGUUGCAGUUUUUGAUAAUGCGAUUGCUGCUGCUAAUGUGACUAACGCGAUGCCGAUGAACAUCUCGGCGUUUUUUGGUGCAGGAUAAGCGGGUGUAGACUCUGUCUGUUUAGUCCCAGAUUCUCCUCCUUUAAUGAACUACCGUGGAAAUCCUGGAGUGUCACUGCUGGUCUGAAUUCAGCAUCCGCCUUCAGGCUGGAAAUCAAUUCUAGUAUACUUCGAUUUCCUUACUUGCAGUUCGAAUUCAAAUAUGAUUCUUUUGACAUUGUGAGGGUUUGCGCUAUUUAAAGAAUGGAGGCAACCGAAACCUCAUCUCCACAGUGGAUGCAUUUUUGCUCCCUCCCGAGGCGUUGCCUUAAGCCACGCGGUCCUGUCAGCCUCACCUGCCUAGUGAUGGUGACAAUGGAAGAGAUAAAGCUUCAAUUCAAGGCACUUCUCCUGUGACCAUCAAAAGAAAGAUAAUAUCUACAUUAAUGAAUUAAUUGUGUCUGUCGAGUUAUCCUCAGGAGACGAUGGUGAUUUGGUCCUUAAAAAAACACAGGAUCAACAGGAUUGACCCUGAAUUCUACAAAGAGGAAAAAUUUCAGGCAUUACUAACUCCUCCAUGUACAAGCCUAAUGAUGUAAUUUUCUGGCCGGGCGCGAUGGCUCAUGCCUGUAAUCCCAGCACUUUGGGAGGCCAAGGCGGGAGGAUGGCUUGAGGCCAGGAGUUCGAGACCAGCCUGGCCAACAUGGUGAAACCCCAUCUCUACAAAAAGUACAAACAUUAGCCAGGCGUGGUCACAGGUGCCUGUAGUCCCAGCUACUUGGGAGGCUAAGGUGGGAGAAUCACCUGAGCCUGGGAGGUUGAGGCUGCAGUGAGCCGUGAUUGUGCCACUACACUCUAGCCUGGGUGACACAGUGAACCUUGUCUCAAGAAAGAAAAAGAAUUUUCUUUAUCCCAUUUCUUUCUCCUUUUUCUUUUUUUUUUUUUUUUUUCCUUUAGACGGAGUCUCACUCUGUUGCCAGGCUGGAGUGCAAUGGCGCGAUCUCGGCUCACUACAACCUCUGCCUCCCGGGUUCAAGCGAUUCCCCUGCCUCAGCCUCCCGAGUAGCUGGGAGUACAGGCGCGUGCCACCAUGCCCGGCAAUUUUUUUGUUUUGUUUUUUGUUUUUUUGUUUUUUUGUAUUUUAGUAGAUACGGGGUUUCACCAUGUUGGCCAGGAUGGUCUCGAUCUCCUGACCUCAUGAUCCACCCACCUCGGCCUCCCAAAGUGUUGGGAUUACAGGCGUGAGCUACCGCACCCGGCGUGUUUAUCCCAUUUCUAUGCCAAUGAACCAAUUACGUUUUACCAUCACUCUUCCCCUUUGACUACUCCUAGUUGGGUUGUUGUUGUCACUUUGUUUUUAAUUAACUCUCUGU
rnacentral:lncRNA from 10 species